GAAGAGCCCACGCUUAGUUGAAUGCUUUGCUGUCAUUGUCUUGAAAAUUUUCAGACUUUUUGAGCAUGGGGCCUGCAUUUUAUCUUGGCACUGGGCCCUACAAAUUGCCUAUCUGUUCCUCUGCAGCCUAGUUCUGAAGUAUCCUAUUGUGCCUGAAAUGCCCGGAUAAUAACCAGAGGAGACAUCGACCAACAUUGACUCCAUCUGAGCUGGGAUGCUGACACAGUGCCCAUGCUUUCUAGCCUACCACCAGAUUUAACUCAGAGGUCCUGAGCUAGAAGCUAAGCUAACCACCAAGAAGGGUGCCUCUGGUCAAGUAAGGAACUACCAACCAUUCUAAGACCUGUUGGGCGAGCUUAUCAGGUUCCCAAUUUCUCCAGAAAUGCCUGGCAGUUUCAAGGAUCGAGAUAAGCACAGCUGUAAUCUACCAUGAUCCAGAGCUUAUUCACAGAUCACAGCUGUGUAAUUUCAGGAAGAUUGCUCUUCUAAUAUUGCCACUGAGAUAUUCAAACACAAUGAGGUGUGGAAGCUGGGAGGAGACGGAGAUGCUCUUAUUGCUGAAGGCUGAGGCAGGUUAUUUCCCUAUCUUCUUUAAAUGA
rnacentral:lncRNA from 1 species